GACGAACGCUGGCGGCGUGCUUAACACAUGCAAGUCGAACGAUGAUCCGGGUGCUUGCACCUGGGGAUUAGCGGCGAACGGGUGAGUAACACGUGAGUAACCUGCCCUGGACUCUGGGAUAACCCCGAGAAAUCGGAGCUAAUACCGGAUAGGACCUUUCCUCGCAUGAGGUGGGGUGGAAAGUUUUUUCGGUUUGGGAUGGACUCGCGGCCUAUCAGCUUGUUGGUGAGGUAAUGGCUCACCAAGGCUUCGACGGGUAGCCGGCCUGAGAGGGUGACCGGCCACACUGGGACUGAGACACGGCCCAGACUCCUACGGGAGGCAGCAGUGGGGAAUAUUGCACAAUGGGCGCAAGCCUGAUGCAGCAGCGCCGCGUGCGGGAUGACGGCCUUCGGGUUGUAAACCGCUUUUAGUAGGGAAGAAGCCUCUUGGGGUGACGGUACCUGCAGAAAAAGGACCGGCUAACUACGUGCCAGCCGCCGCGGUAAAAC
rnacentral:rRNA from 1 species